rnacentral:rRNA from 1 species
AGAGUUUGAUCCUGGCUCAGAACGAACGCUGGCGGCAGGCUUAACACAUGCAAGUCGAACGCCCCGCAAGGGGAGUGGCAGACGGGUGAGUAACGCGUGGGAAUCUACCUAGUUCUACGGAACAACAGUUGGAAACGACUGCUAAUACCGUAUACGCCCUACGGGGGAAAGAUUUAUCGGAAUUAGAUGAGCCCGCGUAAGAUUAGCUAGUUGGUGGGGUAAUGGCCUACCAAGGCGACGAUCUUUAGCUGGUCUGAGAGGAUGAUCAGCCACACUGGGACUGAGACACGGCCCAGACUCCUACGGGAGGCAGCAGUGGGGAAUAUUGGACAAUGGGCGCAAGCCUGAUCCAGCCAUGCCGCGUGAGUGAUGAAGGCCUUAGGGUUGUAAAGCUCUUUCACCGAUGAAGAUAAUGACGGUAGUCGGAGAAGAAGCCCCGGCUAACUUCGUGCCAGCCGCCGCGGUAAUAC